UGGGGUGAAGCUCAAUGGUAGAGCGAUUGCCUAGCAUGCAGAAGGCCCUGAGUUUAAUUCCAGCGGCUCAA
rnacentral:tRNA from 1 species